AUACCUUUCUCGGCCUUUUGGCUAAGAUCAAGUGUAGUAUCUGUUCUUAUCAGUUUAAUAUCUGAUAUGUGGGCCAUGCGUCCACUUCGAUAUUAAAUUUAUUUUUUGUGGGGGAGGGCUCACCACAGUGGCUUGCCACUGGGGCCCUCGAGCGUCGCCCAGCCGUUGCACUGCUGGCAGGGCCUGGCGCACCCCAA
rnacentral:snRNA from 1 species